rnacentral:rRNA from 1 species
CCUACGGGAGGCAGCAGUGGGGAAUAUUGGACAAUGGGCGAAAGCCUGAUCCAGCCAUGCCGCGUGUGUGAAGAAGGCCUUCGGGUUGUAAAGCACUUUCAGUGGGGAAGAAAGCCUUGGGGCUAAUACCCUCGAGGAAGGACAUCACCCACAGAAGAAGCACCGGCUAACUCCGUGCCAGCAGCCGCGGUAAUACGGAGGGUGCGAGCGUUAAUCGGAAUUACUGGGCGUAAAGCGCGCGUAGGCGGUCUGAUAAGCCGGUUGUGAAAGCCCCGGGCUCAACCUGGGAACGGCAUCCGGAACUGUCAGGCUAGAGUGCAGGAGAGGAAGGUAGAAUUCCCGGUGUAGCGGUGAAAUGCGUAGAGAUCGGGAGGAAUACCAGUGGCGAAGGCGGCCUUCUGGACUGACACUGACGCUGAGGUGCGAAAGCGUGGGUAGCAAACAGGAUUAAUACCCUAGUAGUC